rnacentral:rRNA from 1 species
GGAUGCGUAUCGGAAAGCUUCGGCCGGAAGAUACGUUAUCUAGUGGCGGACGGGUGAGUAACACGUGGGUAACCUGCCUUAUGGAGGGGGAUAACAGAGAGAAAUCACUGCUAAUACCGCAUAAGCACACAGUACCGCAUGGUACAGGGUGAAAAGAUUUAUCACCAUAAGAUGGACCCGCGUCUGAUUAGCCAGUUGGCAGGGUAAAAGCCUACCAAAGCAACGAUCAGUAGCCGAUCUGAGAGGAUGACCGGCCACAUUGGGACUGAGACACGGCCCAAACUCCUACGGGAGGCAGCAGUGGGGAAUAUUGCACAAUGGGGGAAACCCUGAUGCAGCGACGCCGCGUGAGUGAAGAAGUAUUUCGGUAUGUAAAGCUCUAUCAGCAGGGAAGAUAAUGACAGUACCUGACUAAGAAGCCCCGGCUAACUACGUGCCAGCAGCCGCGGUAAUACGUAGGGGGCAAGCGUUAUCCGGAUUUACUGGGUGUAAAGGGAGCGUAGACGGAGUGGCAAGUCUGAAGUGAAAACCCUGGGCUUAACCUGGGGACUGCUUUGGAAACUGUUAAUCUAGAGUGUUGGAGAGGUAAGUGGAAUUCCUGGUGUAGCGGUGAAAUGCGUAGAUAUCAGGAAGAACACCGGAGGCGAAGGCGGCUUACUGGACAAUAACUGACGUUGAGGCUCGAAAGCGUGGGGAUCAAACAGGACUAGAUACCCUGGUAGUCCACGCUGUAAACGAUGAAUACUAGGUGUCGGGGAGCAAAGCUUCUCGGUGC